rnacentral:rRNA from 1 species
UAGGACUACCCGCUGAACUUAAGCAUAUC